UACACUAAUGUGCAUGUAGUCUUUGCAGUGAUGAUGGCAUAAUUGUCACGAUAGAGCUAUCACAUUUUUUAUGCAUUCUCAAAGGUUGCAACGAAGAAGGCCCAUCAAGAGCUUUUGCCAUGGAUUUCAGCAAUAAGGAACCAUUUCUGAUACUGUUGUGGCAAUUGUGACAGCAAUGAAGUGAAACUUCGCCUUCUUUGGACCAGACUCUUACAUCACAUUGGGGAUGACCACCAGGACUGUGAUCAUGACAACAUAAUUGAACCAUUGAAUGGGAAGAAGUGGCUAGAGCCUGGCAGUAAUACUUUGUUAGCUCUUAGAGAGAUAGUCAUGGAUAGCAUCCUAUUAAAUUCUCUACACUAUUAUGUUCGGAACAGGCAUACUGGUAUGUUGGAGGUUUUCCACAAUGUGAUCUUGGAGUACUGUUGUAAGCGAAUUGUUACAAGAAUGAUGCUUUUGUUACCAGAUGUGAGCUGGCAUACUUAGAUUAUAAUGCACACCUAAACAGACCGUAGUUGAAGCGAAAAGAUGGUACCCAAGUUUUUGCUAGAAAAUGGGGUAAAAGGAAAAAGAUGUGGCAUGCAGUUCCAGUUCCUGAGUCAUAUUUGUAUAUGGAAGAGUUGCAAGCAAAAAUCAUGUGGAGACGACAUAUGGACAGGAAUUCAGGUGUGGCAAGGAGAGCUACCAAGGCAUUGGCAAGAAACAUUGGUUCAAAGCCAGCCCCUCCCACAACUGACCAUGUUGCACCACACGUGAAACGUGCAAAUAUGAAACAAAGUGAAAUUUAAUGCAGAGGCACCUUCCUGCAUCCAUCACAGACACACCACAAAGGACUCUCUUCAGAAACAGUGGACAUAUCAAUUUGGGCAGACAUUUCACUGACACGCUUCCAAAGUAGAGGGGACAUUUUGGCCAUGAGACAAACACGAUUUAUUACAUCAUCCUUCUCUAACCGGCUGCAUUGUUCCUGUCAAAGAUACUUUAAGCUAAGUGUCCUUUUUGAAUCUAUUAUUUCGUUCAAAAUGUAAGCCCUGGCAUAACCUGAGGAGCAGACAAUCAUAGAUAGAUGAAAAGCAAAUUUCUUCAAAAAAUUCAGUUAUGCAACAUUUUGCAUCAUUUUACUCAUUAUUUACUCCUUUGGUUUUUGUCAAUAACUUUUUUUGGCUAUAUUAUCUGAGGCAUUCUUCCGUUAGCAUAAAAGCUCAGGACAGCUUAAAAAAUCUGCUGACUAAGAGGUACAUCUUAUUUGAACAUCGCUAAAACGGUGAAAAAGAUGUCAAAAUUUACUUGAGAAACAGCUUAAAAGGCAGAAUAUACAAAUAAAGUCUCUGUGCUUUGUAAAUACCUUUAUACAUACCUUUAUAUACCUUUGCUUCAUUAUAAGCAGAUUCUGCUCUUUCUUGGUGUUCCUCUUGCAGCUCGUAAGGUCGUUUUCUUCUCUUUGCUAGUAAUUGCUACAUUAAUAUAAGGAUUUGUUAUACUAAAUGUUAAAACCAUUACCUUUUGACACAAAUGAUUCAUUACAUUAAGUCUAAUAAAUGUACAAUGGAGGGUAUAUUUCAAUAAUAAAUUCAUUGUAAUGAAUAUAGAAGAAUAAAUCAAAGUUCUAGACAUAGAGUUUAGAGAUUUGCCCUCCCAAAUAUAUAGGUAUCCAAAAAAGUGUAUAAAACCAUUUGUUGCAUUAUUAAACUAUUUCCUGCACCUGAUUUGCAUUGCUGUUUGUUGCAUUUUGUUCCGGUCGAUGGGAACACUUCUGCAGUGGACACCUGCAGACAUUUUCUUUGCAGUGGACAGCAGCAACUUUACAUUGGCAGUUUCGCUUGCAUGACCCUGUGCAGUUGCAGCUAACAUGAGUGAGGGCAUCAUCCUGAAAAGAGAAUGUCAAUAAAAACAAUCAGUUGGAGCAUACUUUAUUAGUAAUACAUUUCAACUUUAUUUGAAAAUUAGCAAAUACUUUAAACUGGAAAUGAUUUUAAAAGGUUUCAAUGUGUAUACAUUUAGUAGCAAGUACUACUUUGAACUCAUUAAUGACUUAGUCAUGAAAGUUUUUAACGUAUUAACAGAAUUGAUGAAAUUGUUGUCCAUGUUGAAUAUUAUUGGCUGCUAACUUGCAAGCAAAAAUAUUGUGUGUUGUGGUAAAGAAAACAAAAGGCGAAAUGUAUAAUGGCCGAAAAUUCAUAAGUAGCGGCCUCAAGGCAGGAAAUCAAGUUGUGGUCUACCAAUUCUGGUCUGAUAUCCCUUGAUAAACUCAUCUGCUCUAGGGUUUGGCCACUGUCGAGUUCACUAUACUCCUCUUGAUUAGGAGGCAGGCUAAAAUGAAAGAAAGGUAAACAAUAAACCUUUAGAUUUUCAUUUCCUAGAUAAUGUUUGUUUGAUCAAUGUUCUGUUACAACUGCAAAAACCUGUUUAUACCAUCUACUCUCUGAAGGCAUUCAACAAUAUAAAAAAACCAUCAUAUAAAAUAAUAUCAGACUCCUUCUCAGAAUAGCAAUUGACGCCAUUCACCAAGCAUGUGAUCGUUUCUUAGCCAUAUUAACAAUUUAUAAAAAAAAGAUAAUAAAGUCAAAUCAAAUUGCGUCCAGGGUUGUAAUUCAGCUGAAAUAGGUUGCUAUCUACUUGGCUGAAUUUGUUGGUGCAUAUUUUAUUUCUGCAUUUGCAGUGUUCUGGGCGGCAUUUUCUCCUGUUCAUGAGGCUAGGGCAUUUUCUAAUGCAUUUUCCAGAGCAAGCACACAUGAUUUCUUCAUCCAUGGUAUCAAUCCCUAUUCCUUGUCCAUUUGCCAUAAUUUCCAUUGUGUUGUCAUCAAACAAAGAGUUAUCAGCAGAAGUUGUGAUGCUUAUAUUCAAUCUGUUGAAAAAAUUGCGUAAGUUCUGAUGCAUAUCCUAUAAAUGAAUUAUAUACCCCCACACUUGUAAAUCAGUCAUUAAAACUUCCUUCCUCUUGGGCUUUCUCAAUAAUUUUCAUGAGGGAGGGAAGUUUUGUACAGUUUUGAAAGCAACAAAAAUUUAUGAAAUAAAUCUUGUCAAAUUUUUAUUCAUGCUUUAUGAGAGGGUGCUUUAUGGAGAAGCUAAUAUAUUUAGAGAGCUCCUCCUUAACCAGUUAGUCAUCAUGUUAAAUUCUAUUCCAGAAUUUUGUAACUUUAAUUUGUUUUUGUUGUAUGGUAUUUUUAACCAUUUUGUUUUCAUGAAAUUGUGUAGAAUUGUAUUUAGGACUGAUUGAUAGGUAAAUAAAUGAAAACUGUCUCAGUUAACGGAAUUGGAACUGGUACAUUUGGUACAUUUGAAACAAAAAUUUUAAAAAGGAGCUUUCAUAUUUUCCAUUACGAAAUAUGGAACUAACUGCUAACUGCCCACCGAAACCAGUUAGUAGAAAUUUGCUGAUUUCAUUGCCAAACAUCUCACAAAUUUAUUUGUCUUUUAAGAAGGAGUGGCGACAUUUAUCCAUAAACGUUCCAUUUUGGUUAACUGUGACAGACAUUUACUUUUCUUUGACCCUUGAUAUAAUUAGGCCAAUCUAAUUCGUAUUCAGAACGGUAUCUCACCUCCUAUUU